rnacentral:rRNA from 1 species
CUGUCGGCGUGCUUAACACAUGCAAGUCGAACGGAAAGGCCCUGCUUUUGUGGGGUGCUCGAGUGGCGAACGGGUGAGUAACACGUGAGUAACCUGCCCUUGACUUUGGGAUAACUUCAGGAAACUGGGGCUAAUACCGGAUAGGAGCUCCUGCUGCAUGGUGGGGGUUGGAAAGUUUCGGCGGUUGGGGAUGGACUCGCGGCUUAUCAGCUUGUUGGUGGGGUAGUGGCUUACCAAGGCUUUGACGGGUAGCCGGCCUGAGAGGGUGACCGGCCACAUUGGGACUGAGAUACGGCCCAGACUCCUACGGGAGGCAGCAGUGGGGAAUAUUGCACAAUGGGCGGAAGCCUGAUGCAGCAACGCCGCGUGCGGGAUGACGGCCUUCGGGUUGUAAACCGCUUUCGCCUGUGACGAAGCGUGAGUGACGGUAAUGGGUAAAGAAGCACCGGCUAACUACGUGCCAGCAGCCGCGGUGAUACGUAGGGUGCGAGCGUUGUCCGGAUUUAUUGGGCGUAAAGGGCUCGUAGGUGGUUGAUCGCGUCGGAAGUGUAAUCUUGGGGCUUAACCCUGAGCGUGCUUUCGAUACGGGUUGACUUGAGGAAGGUAGGGGAGAAUGGAAUUCCUGGUGGAGCGGUGGAAUGCGCAGAUAUCAGGAGGAACACCAGUGGCGAAGGCGGUUCUCUGGGCCUUUCCUGACGCUGAGGAGCGAAAGCGUGGGGAGCGAACAGGCUUAGAUACCCUGGUAGUCCACGCUGUAAACGGUGGGUACUAGGUGUGGGGUCCAUUCCACGGGUUCCGUGCCGUAGCUAACGCUUUAAGUACCCCGCCUGGGGAGUACGGCCGCAAGGCUAAAACUCAAAGGAAUUGACGGGGCCCCGCACAAGCGGCGGAGCAUGCGGAUUAAUUCGAUGCAACGCGUAGAACCUUACCUGGGUUUGACAUGGAUCGGGAGUGCUCAGAGAUGGGUGUGCCUCUUUUGGGGUCGGUUCACAGGUGGUGCAUGGCUGUCGUCAGCUCGUGUCGUGAGAUGUUGGGUUAAGUCCCGCAACGAGCGCAACCCUUGUUCACUGUUGCCAGCACGUUAUGGUGGGGACUCAGUGGAGACCGCCGGGGUCAACUCGGAGGAAGGUGGGGAUGACGUCAAGUCAUCAUGCCCCUUAUGUCCAGGGCUUCACGCAUGCUACGAUGGCUGGUACAGAGAGUGGCGAGCCUGUGAGGGUGAGCGAAUCUCGGAAAGCCGGUCUCAGUUCGGAUUGGGGUCUGCAACUCGACCUCAUGAAGUCGGAGUCGCUAGUAAUCGCAGAUCAGCAACGCCGCGGUGAAUACGUUCCCGGGGCUUGUACACACCGCCCGUCAAGUCAUGAAAGUUGGUAACACCCGAAGCCGGUGGCCUAACCGUUGUGGGGGAGCCGUCGAAGGUGGGACCGGUGAUUAGGACUA